GUUCGAUAUGACUGAGGGGGGUGGGAAGAUUGGGCGCGCGUGCCCGUUGCCAGGCACUUCCCAUCCUCCAACCGGGGAAUUCCACUCCGGCCACCGUUUCGCAGUCGUCGUCAGCUGUGGCGGUGGCAGCGGUGCUCCCAGCCAGAAGGGGCUAGCGUGACUCCGGACUGCGUGCUGCGAAGAGCCGUCGUGAGGUCGCGUGCCGCCCGCUGAGCCGCCACGAUCAGCGGGCGGCCCCGCAUCACCCCAAUCUGUGGCCACAGCAACCGUUCAGGCCUUUGUUAAUCCACGUGUUAGAUGAAGACCUGUCCACGCCGUAUGAGUCGUGAGGGUGAUUUGACCACGACUUAACGAUACGGAAUGGCAUCAACGGGAGGAGCGGCGCACACAUGACGUGCGACGUCAUCACAUUGGCCGGAAAGGCUUAUCCAUUUAUCCCCAAGUCUUGGGCAACCAUUUCAUCAAUGUGGCUGGUGUUCUCCGCGGUAAGUCUCUAUUAGCUAUACAACUUUAUGCAAGCGUUUUAUUCACGUUAGAUCUUCUUUAUGAGUGUAAUGAUUGCACGUUGCAGACAAAAAGAUGGUACAGCUAAUGUAUUCACGCUGUCAACCUUGAAUUGAACAGCGAUAUCGACAUCCCCGGCUGAUUUUAGGAGGAGCAGCAGCAGCAGCAGCGUUGAGCGCUGAGGCACCACUCACCAGGUGCAUGCUGUGCAUCUGGAUGACGUUCUUCUGCAUGUCCCACUCGGUUGCCACAGCGACAGCCAAACUCUCGCUGGGCACGGCAAACAGCUUCCCCUGCGGUGUGCGCAGCUUGCGGCGGUCCAGGUUCACCUCAAACAUGCCGCCUGUUGGGACGGACGCACCUCUUCGUCGGUGGGGUCUGGAAAGCUAUCGCCAAUAAACUGCAACUUGGAUCACUACCUGUGAGAUCUUCCCUCAAUGGAAAACUAUCGCCAAUAAACUGCAACUUGGAUCACUACCUGUGAGAUCUUCCCUCAAAACUGCUCCUGAGGAGCUGGACACCCCUAGCUGCCACUGCUAUGCAGAGUGGCCUGAAAUCAAAUGCAUCGCUCCAGAUGACCGCUGCAAAGUAUGAUCUUGAGUUUUGAUUAUAGUAUGCUGAUCUU